AAACACCCCCAAACUGCCUACAGUUUUAAUGGUCCCGUAGUGUUACAUACUGUCAACCAUAUCCCUUACUAUGGAGCUUCUAACUCGCUCAGUUCAGGGACUGAACCAAGAGAGGGGAGCUGCCAGAAGCCUUGCUGGAAAAUGCGAGCAAAUACCAAUACUGCAACAACUCUACUGUAUAUGUAAACACCUACCGCUACGCAGUACUCCGGCUUGCCCCUCCCCCCUCACGGCGCUCCAUGCCGUGCGCCCCGGAAUGCGGUGUGGGGAUGGGGUGGGAUAGGAUGGACUGGCGGAUGGUGGAAGUAUCAUAUAGGUCUGCUGGGGGCUGCGAGCAGCCAUACUACCGGUCAUGAUAUUGCCUUCGGUAGCUCAGGGCGCCGCGGGCUGGGGGUGGGUAAGUGAGCGGGGAUGGGGGCUCGGACUCAGCGGGGGCACGGACUCAGGGCGUGGAAGCCAGCGAGAAGCGGGCGAGAGUAACGCCGAUGUGCCGGGUGAUGUGCGAGCAGAAUACAGAACGCGGCAUUCGUCAUUACGGGGAAACUAAAACAGAUAGCGCCAACCUUUUGCGCCUCGCGCUUUCGCGCGCAAUUUCCAGGAUCCUCCAACGCGUCGAUUCCUCCGUCUUGCGUCCUUCCGUGCCGGGAGCCUUGAUUAUCGAUACAAUUUGUGAUAUAUUGUAUGUUGCGCUGGAGCUCUAAUGCAAACGCUACGCUUGUGCGUUUACCCCGCUCUGGCAUAGGGCUUGCGUUUUCAUAAUGUUACGCUUUGCAAUACAUACAUAGAAAGGCGCAUUAUUUGCACGACAAAUUUCGCUGCGCUCGGGUUUCAAGGUUAUAACUCAAGUCAAAACUGGAAUAACCGGGAGGGCCCCCCGCGGCGAGCUCGAUGCGACCGCAAUGGCUAUUGCCCCUCCCCCUUCGGGGGAAGGGGCAAGCCAACAUUCAGGCAAGCAAUCCCGCCCCAACUGCUGGGUUGUCAGUUGCCGCUGUCCACCGCCAUCGGUCGCCCCGCCAUCCACCCACCAUCCUGUGAAUCCCCCCGACCGUCCUGUGAUCUCCUAGGCUCCUUUCUGAGGGGAAAUCCCAUCUGAUGUCGGGAAACUAGGUUGUGGAUUCUUCCCCCGCGCGCAAUUUUCAAUGGCGUCGGACCGCAUCUGAGUUGCCGCGCGGGGGCCCCGGCCGCAUCUGACACGGCCCCCCGGCCCAAUCUUAGUUGUCGGCACAGGCCGCCGCCCCAAACUUGGACCCCCGCCAACCACAACUAAGUUGCUGCCACAGCCCGGUUUCCGCAACCGUACGACCAGACUCAAUCCACAACUUUCCGGAUUUCCCAGUGCGACCGGGAUGAGCCAUGCAGCGAUCGCGCUGUCGUUACUUCCUCGGCCGCCCGGCCCCCUUGCUCAUUUAUUUAACCGCAUCCGUCACGUCCCCGUACUUAGUGUUCUUCGUUUAGUCCCCCCGCGCAGCGCACAGCCAUAACAGCCACAGCCUGCAGCCCAGCUUGCGCACCAUGUCCUCGCGGUUGCUUUGGGGUUGACGUUGCUUGCCUCGCGCCUAGCGCCAUAGCUUCUACGCUGCAGUGCAUCACGCCUCCUGUCCCUCCCUCCCUCCCUUACAUGUCGUGCUGGGCACCGGUGGCGCUGGUGUUCUCCAGGUUGGUUUCGGGCGCAUCCUUUCUGGUAGUCCCAACGCCAGCCCGGCCGGCGUCGUCCAGCCCAGCCAUCCCAAUACAGCAGCCACCUUCCGUCAGCCAGCCAUG
rnacentral:lncRNA from 1 species